UUAUACGGCGAAACUGCGAAUGGCUCAUUAAAUCAGUUAUCGUUUACUUGAUAGACCCAUACUACUUGGAUAACCGUGGUAAUUCUAGAGCUAAUACAUGCGAAAAACCGCGACUUCGGAAGCGGUGUAUUUAUUAGAUUAAAGACCAAUGCCCUUCGGGGCUGACUGGUGAUUCAUGAUAACUUCACGAAUCGCACGGCCUUGCGCCGGCGAUGGCUCAUUCAAAUUUCUGCCCUAUCAACUUUCGACUUUAGUGUAGUGGACUAAAGUGGUUGCAACGGGUAACGGAGGGUUAGGGCUCGACCCCGGAGAAGGAGCCUGAGAGACGGCUACUACAUCCAAGGAAGGCAGCAGGCGCGCAAAUUACCCAAUCCCGACUCGGGGAGGUAGUGACAAUAAAUACUGAUACAGGGCUCUUUUGGGUCUUGUAAUUGGAAUGAGUACAAUUUAAAUCUCUUAACGAGGAACAAUUGGAGGGCAAGUCUGGUGCCAGCAGCCGCGGUAAUUCCAGCUCCAAUAGCGUAUAUUAAAGUUGUUGUGGUUAAAAAGCUCGUAGUUGAACCUGGGCCUCGCGCAGACCGGUCCGCCUCACCGCGUGCACUGGUCCUGCCGGGGCUUUCACUAGGGGAUUCGCAUGUCCUUCACUGGGCGUGUGCGGAACCUGGACUUUUACUGUGAAAAAAUUAGAGUGUUCAAAGCAGGCCUAUGCUCGAAUACAUUAGCAUGGAAUAAUAGAAUAGGACGUGUGGUUCUAUUUUGUUGGUUAUGGGACCGCCGUAAUGAUUAAUAGGGACAGUCGGGGGCAUCAGUAUUCAAUAGUCAGAGGUGAAAUUCUUGGAUUUAUUGAAGACUAACUACUGCGAAAGCAUUUGCCAAGGAUGUUUUCAUUAAUCAGGAACGAAAGUUAGGGGAUCGAAGACGAUCAGAUACCGUCGUAGUCUUAACCAUAAACUAUGCCGACUAGGGAUCGGGCGAUGUUACUUUUUGACUCGCUCGGCACCUUACGAGAAAUCAAAGUCUGUGGGUUCCUGGGGGAGUAUGGUGCGCAACGCUGAAACUUAAAGAAAU
rnacentral:rRNA from 1 species